rnacentral:rRNA from 1 species
UGGGGAAUUGUUCGCAAUGGGCGCAAGCCUGACGACGCAACGCCGCGUGGAGGAUGAAGAUCUUCGGGUCGUAACCUCCUUUCGAUCGAGACGAAUUCCCCCGGGGCGAACAAUCCCGGGGGGUGACGGUACCGAGAGAAGAAGCCCCGGCUAACUCCGUGCCAGCAGCCGCGGUAAUACGGGGGGGGCAAGCGUUAUUCGGAAUUAUUGGGCGUAAAGGGCGCGUAGGCGGCUCGAUAAGUCAAAGGUGAAAUCCCUCGGCUCAACUGAGGAACUGCCUUUGAAACUGUAGAGCUUGAGUCCGGGAGGGGGUAGCGGAAUUCCCAGUGUAGCGGUGAAAUGCGUAGAUAUUGGGAGGAACACCAGUGGCGAAGGCGGUUACCUGGACCGGAACUGACGCUGAGGCGCGAAAGCGUGGGUAGCAA